rnacentral:piRNA from 1 species
GCUUUAGAAGGUUGAAAGAGCUC